rnacentral:rRNA from 1 species
UCCUUUACGAGGAAAAGAAAAUAACAAUGAUUUCCCUAGUAACGGCGAGUGAAGAGGAAAGAGCUCAAAGUUGGAACCUAUUUGGCUUAGCUAAAUCGGAUUGUAAACUGUAGAAGUGUUUUCCAGACACGCCUGGUAAAAAAGUCCUUUGGAACAGGGCAUCAUAGAGGGUGAGAAUCCCGUCAUUGGCCAGAGCUGUUGUCUUUUGUGAUACAUUUUCAAAGAGUCAGGUUGUUUGGGAAUGCAGCCUAAAUUGGGUGGUAAAUCUCACCUAAAGCUAAAUAUUUGCGAGAGACCGAUAGCGAACAAGUACCGUGAGGGAAAGAUGAAAAGAACUUUGAAAAGAGAGUUAAACAGUAUGUGAAAUUGUUAAAAGGGAACCGUUUGGAGCCAGACUGGCUUAAUCGUAAUCAAUCUAGGCUUUGGCCUGGAUGCACUUGCGGUUUAUGCCGGCCAACGACAGUUUUGUUUGGGAGAAAAAAUUACAUUGAAUGUGGCCCCUCGGGGUGUUAUAGCUUUGUAAAAAAUAUCCUGGACUGGACUGAGGAACGCAGUGAAUGCCUUUAGGCAAGAUUGCUGGGUGCUUUCGCUAAUACAUGCUAGAAUUUCUGCUUCGGGUGGUGCUAGUGUUUAAAGGAGGAACUCGCCUGGUAUAUUUUAUUCGCUUAUGGUGUGCUAAGUAGCACGG